ACAUGUGUUUCCUAUUUCUUUCAUUUCAGAAUGAUGCACAGAAAACACUUCUACCAAGAAUUGUUGGCACGGAUAGGACACCAGAAACAGGAUGCCACUUCAUUCUUUGGGAUUUUGACAAGACCGAAAAACAAAUAAGGAUUUAUGACAACACAAGACGUCACAUGAACAUUUCACCCUCAGAUAUGGACAUUCUGAAAGAUGCCUUUAGAAAUGUAGACUCCCUGGAUGGGUGGACUGUGUGCAGUCCACAGCAAUGGCGGAGAAAUGAUGGAAACAACUGUGGUGUUUUUGUUUGCACAGUGAAUGGAUAGAGUUUUAUAAGUUUGUUUGCAACUUUGUACAUACAUUAAUAUUUAUGU